UAUUAGCUCAGUUGGUUAGAGCGCACCCCUGAUAAGGGUGAGGACUCUGGUUCAAAUCCA
rnacentral:tRNA from 16 species